rnacentral:rRNA from 1 species
GACGAACGCUGGCGGCGUGCCUAAUACAUGCAAGUAGAACGCUGAAGAGAGGAGCUUACUCUUCUUGGAUGAGUUGCGAACGGGUGAGUAACGCGUAGGUAACCCGCCUUGUAGCGGGGGAUAACUAUUGGAAACGAUAGCUAAUACCGCAUAACAAUGGAUGACACAUGUCAUUUAUUUGAAAGGGGCAAUUGCUCCACUACAAGAUGGACCUGCGUUGUAUUAGCUAGUAGGUGAGGUAAUGGCUCACCUAGGCGACGAUACAUAGCCGACCUGAGAGGGUGAUCGGCCGCCCUGGGACUGAGACACGGCAAAGACGCCUACGGGAGGCAGCAGUAGGGAAUCUUCGGCAAUGGGGGCAAACCUGACCGAGCAACGCCGCGGGAGUGUAGAAGGUUUUCGGAUCGUAGAGCUCUGUUGUAAGUCAAGAACGGGUGUGAGAGUGGAAAGUUCACACUGUGACGGUAGCUUAUCAGAAAGGGACGGCUAACUACGUG